UACGGGGGGGGCAAGCGUUGUUCGGAAUUACUGGGCGUAAAGGGCUCGUAGGCGGCCAACUAAGUCAGACGUGACAUCCCUCGGCUUAACCGGGGAACUGCGUCUGAUACUGGAUGGCUUGAGUGUGGGAGAGGGAUGCGGAAUUCCAGGUGUAGCGGUGAAAUGCGUAGAUAUCUGGAGGAACACCGGUGGCGAAGGCGGCAUCCUGGACCAUGACUGACGCUGAUGAGCGAAAGCCAGGGGAGCAAACGGG
rnacentral:rRNA from 1 species